UUUUUGUUUGGAGAGUUUGAUCCUGGCUCAGGACGAACGCUGGCGGCGUGCUUAACACAUGCAAGUCGAACGGAAAGGCCCUUCGGGGUACUCGAGUGGCGAACGGGUGAGUAACACGUGGGCAAUCUGCCCUGCACACCGGGAUAAGCCUGGGAAACUGGGUCUAAUACCGGAUAGGACCACUUGGCGCAUGCCUUGUGGUGGAAAGCUUUUGCGGUGUGGGAUGGGCCCGCGGCCUAUCAGCUUGUUGGUGGGGUGACGGCCUACCAAGGCGACGACGGGUAGCCGGCCUGAGAGGGUGUCCGGCCACACUGGGACUGAGAUACGGCCCAGACUCCUACGGGAGGCAGCAGUGGGGAAUAUUGCACAAUGGGCGCAAGCCUGAUGCAGCGACGCCGCGUGGGGGAUGACGGCCUUCGGGUUGUAAACCUCUUUCACCAUCGACGAAGGUCCGGGUUGUCUCGGAUUGACGGUAGGUGGAGAAGAAGCACCGGCCAACUACGUGCCAGCAGCCGCGGUAAUACGUAGGGUGCGAGCGUUGUCCGGAAUUACUGGGCGUAAAGAGCUCGUAGGUGGUUUGUCGCGUUGUUCGUGAAAUCUCACGGCUUAACUGUGAGCGUGCGGGCGAUACGGGCAGACUAGAGUACUGCAGGGGAGACUGGAAUUCCUGGUGUAGCGGUGGAAUGCGCAGAUAUCAGGAGGAACACCGGUGGCGAAGGCGGGUCUCUGGGCAGUAACUGACGCUGAGGAGCGAAAGCGUGGGGAGCGAACAGGAUUAGAUACCCUGGUAGUCCACGCCGUAAACGGUGGGUACUAGGUGUGGGUUUCCUUCCUUGGGAUCCGUGCCGUAGCUAACGCAUUAAGUACCCCGCCUGGGGAGUACGGCCGCAAGGCUAAAACUCAAAGGAAUUGACGGGGGCCCGCACAAGCGGCGGAGCAUGUGGAUUAAUUCGAUGCAACGCGAAGAACCUUACCUGGGUUUGACAUGCACAGGACGCGUCUAGAGAUAGGCGUUCCCUUGUGGCCUGUGUGCAGGUGGUGCAUGGCUGUCGUCAGCUCGUGUCGUGAGAUGUUGGGUUAAGUCCCGCAACGAGCGCAACCCUUGUCUCAUGUUGCCAGCGGGUAAUGCCGGGGACUCGUGAGAGACUGCCGGGGUCAACUCGGAGGAAGGUGGGGAUGACGUCAAGUCAUCAUGCCCCUUAUGUCCAGGGCUUCACACAUGCUACAAUGGCCGGUACAAAGGGCUGCGAUGCCGCGAGGUUAAGCGAAUCCUUUUAAAGCCGGUCUCAGUUCGGAUCGGGGUCUGCAACUCGACCCCGUGAAGUCGGAGUCGCUAGUAAUCGCAGAUCAGCAACGCUGCGGUGAAUACGUUCCCGGGCCUUGUACACACCGCCCGUCACGUCAUGAAAGUCGGUAACACCCGAAGCCAGUGGCCUAACCCUCGGGAGGGAGCUGUCGAAGGUGGGAUCGGCGAUUGGGACGAAGUCGUAACAAGGUAGCCGUACCGGAAGGUGCGGCUGGAUCACCUCCUUUCUAAGGAG
rnacentral:rRNA from 2 species